rnacentral:rRNA from 1 species
UUGAACGCUGGCGGUAGGCCUAACACAUGCAAGUCGAGCGGUAACAUUUCUAGCUUGCUAGAAGAUGACGAGCGGCGGACGGGUGAGUAACGCGUAGAAAUCUACCUAGUAGUGGGGGAUAGCCCAGAGAAAUUUGGAUUAAUACCGCAUACGCCCUACGGGGUAAAGCAGGGGACCUUCGGGCCUUGCGCUGAUGGAUGAGCCCGCGUCGGAUUAGCUUGUUGGUAGGGUAACGGCCUACCAAGGCGACGAUCCGUAGCUGGUCUGAGAGGAUGAUCAGCCACACUGGGACUGAGACACGGCCCAGACUCCUACGGGAGGCAGCAGUGGGGAAUAUUGCACAAUGGGCGCAAGCCUGAUGCAGCCAUGCCGCGUGUGUGAAGAAGGCCUUAGGGUUGUAAAGCACUUUCAGCAGUGAGGAAAGGGGUGUCGUUAAUAGCGCCAUCCUGUGACGUUAACUGCAGAAGAAGGACCGGCUAACUCCGUG